AUUUAGAGCUGCGUCACAGAGCUCAGCGAGAGAGUGAGAGAGCAAGCUCCGUCGAUAGGUCUACCAGCAACAGCCCUGCUGCAGCAAGAGGGGAGAGAGGCAGCAAGAGAGGCACAGAGGGCUCCAGGAACAGAAGUGGCACCAACACCACGGACCGGGCUCCUGCCACCCUCCACUGUCAUCUGCACCUCGUCCUCGGGCUCGCCCGGCGUAGGAGGCUUCGCCCAUKGACGAUGCUGGAGACCCGGCGCGCUUAAUCCCGCGGGGAGGGAGAGUGGGCAGACACCGAAAGRGUUAACGGGAAGGAAAUUUCUGGAACCUUCUCUUCUGCGGCGCUCCAGAGCGAGCGGAGGGCUGAGGACUGCGCAGAUGGUGCACGGGCACGGCUCCUCGGUCCGGUUCGUCUCCCUCACUGACCAGCAAUGAAGAUGGCGACUGUGCCUGGAAGUGCUGAGGACACAGCCAGCCUUGAGCUUGGUCCYUCUGGCCGAGGAAGUCUCCCGAUUAUGCAGUGGAGUGACACGCUGUGAGCCUUGGAAAGGAGAGCACAGACAGAUGUACCCUUCCCAAAACGUGCACCUGCACCUUGGCAAGAAGGGCUGACACCUUCUGGGCAGCUYGUGAAGGCAACAGGACAAACUCCAGGUAGCCUGGAGGAGGAGGGGCAGCAGCAUCUUAAUUAUGCUGAAGUGAAACCUGGUUUUAUCAAAACUAUAAAUAAUAAAUGAGCCAUUGGUCUUCAAAUGCUGCAUGAUAUUUCUGGAAAGGUCGGUCUCCUUUGGAGAGGGGAAGAUGUGCACUGGUGUUCAGUCUUUCUAAGCCUCACACUUUGACAAAAGUCCCCAUUUUCAGCAGCACAAAAUUAAGUGACAUUUC